GGUUCAAUGGUAGAACAUCAGCCUUCCAAGCUGAAUACGUGGGUUCGAUUCCCAUC
rnacentral:tRNA from 1 species